rnacentral:rRNA from 1 species
GUCUAUGGCCUUACCACUCCGAACGUACCCUAUCUCGUCUGGUCUCGGAAGCUAAGCAAGGUUGGGCCUGAUUAGUUCUUGGAUGGGAGAAAGAUCUUCAGAGGAGACUGCUCAGAGACA